AGAGUUUGAUUCUGGCUCAGGAUGAACGCUGGCGGCGUGCCUAACACAUGCAAGUCGAACGGAGAUGUUGUGUGAGCGGAGAGUGCUUGCACUUAACAAUCUUUCAACAUCUUAGUGGCGGACGGGUGAGUAACGCGUGGGUAACCUGCCUCAUACAGGGGGAUAACACUUAGAAAUAGGUGCUAAUACCGCAUAAGCGCACAGUAUCGCAUGAUACAGUGUGAAAAACUCCGGUGGUAUGAGAUGGACCCGCGUCUGAUUAGCUAGUUGGUGGGGUAACGGCCCACCAGGGCGACGAUCAGUAGCCGGCCUGAGAGGGUGAACGGCCACAUUGGGACUGAGACACGGCCCAAACUCCUACGGGAGGCAGCAGUGGGGAAUAUUGCACAAUGGGGGAAACCCUGAUGCAGCAACGCCGCGUGAAGGAAGAAGGUCUUCGGAUUGUAAACUUCUGUUUUUAGUGAAGAAACAAAUGACGGUAGCUAAAGAGGAAGCCACGGCUAACUACGUGCCAGCAGCCGCGGUAAUACGUAGGUGGCAAGCGUUGUCCGGAUUUACUGGGUGUAAAGGGUGCGCAGGCGGGACUGCAAGUUGGAUGUGAAAUACCGGAGCUCAACUCCGGAACUGCAUCCAAAACUGUAGUUCUUGAGUGGAGUAGAGGUAAGCGGAAUUCCGAGUGUAGCGGUGAAAUGCAUAGAUAUUCGGAGGAACACCAGUGGCGAAGGCGGCUUACUGGGCUCUAACUGACGCUGAGGCACGAAAGUGUGGGUAGCAAACAGGAUUAGAUACCCUGGUAGUCCACACUGUAAACGAUGAAUACUAGGUGUGGGGGGACUGACCCCUUCCGUGCCGGAGUUAACACAAUAAGUAUUCCACCUGGGGAGUACGACCGCAAGGUUGAAACUCAAAGGAAUUGACGGGGGCCCGCACAAGCAGUGGAGUAUGUUGUUUAAUUCGAAGCAACGCGAAGAACCUUACCAUGUCUUGACAUCGAGGUAAAGCGCUAGAGAUAGCGUGUCUCUUCGGAGGACCGAAGACAGGUGGUGCAUGGUUGUCGUCAGCUCGUGUCGUGAGAUGUUGGGUUAAGUCCCGCAACGAGCGCAACCCCUAUGGUCAGUUACUAACGCGUAAUGGCGAGGACUCUGACAAGACUGCCGGGGACAACUCGGAGGAAGGUGGGGACGACGUCAAAUCAUCAUGCCCCUUAUGACCUGGGCUACACACGUGCUACAAUGGUCGUUACAGAGAGAGGCGAGACCGCAAGGUUAAGCGGAUCUCAAAAAAGCGAUCCCAGUUCGGAUUGUGGGCUGCAACCCGCCCACAUGAAGUCGGAGUUGCUAGUAAUCGCGGAUCAGCAUGCCGCGGUGAAUACAAUCCCGGGCCUUGUACUCACCGCCCGUCA
rnacentral:rRNA from 1 species